rnacentral:tRNA from 1 species
UGGGAUAUGGUGUAAUUGGCAGCACAACGGCAAUGUAGCCGUAAGUGGUGGUUCGACCCCACCUACCCCGCCUA